AUCUCAUAUGACCAACAUUUGAAAUGGAGGAAUCAUCUCUACAGCUGCUGCUGGUUGUGACUUCACUGCUGACCAUCCCAACAAACCAAGUCUCUCUGACUCUGAGUCCCAG